rnacentral:rRNA from 1 species
GACGAACGCUGGCGGCGUGCUUAACACAUGCAAGUCGAACGGAAAGGCCCUGCUUUUGUGGGGUGCUCGAGUGGCGAACGGGUGAGUAACACGUGAGUAACCUGCCCUUGACUUUGGGAUAACUUCAGGAAACUGGGGCUAAUACCGGAUAGGAGCUCCUGCUGCAUGGUGGGGGCUGGAAAGUUUCGGCGGUUGGGGAUGGACUCGCGGCUUAUCAGCUUGUUGGUGGGGUAGUGGCUUACCAAGGCUUUGACGGGUAGCCGGCCUGAGAGGGUGACCGGCCACAGUGGGACUGAGAUACGGCCCAGACGCCUACGGUGGGCAGAAGUGGGGAAUAUUGCACAAUGGGCGGAAGCCUGAUGCAGCAACGCCGCGUGCGGGAUGACGGCCUUCAGGUUGUAAACCGCUUUCGCCUGUGACGAAGCGUGAGUGACGGUAAUGGGUAAAGAAGCACCGGCUAACUACGUG